CAGUAGCCACGGUAAUACGUAGGUGGCGAGCGUUGUCCGGAAUUAUUGGGCGUAAAGGGAGCGCAGGCGGACAUAUAAGUCCAUCUUAAAAGUGCGGGGCUCAACCCCGUGAGGGGAUGGAAACUGCUGAUCUAGAGUAUCGGAGAGGAAAGUGGAAUUCCUAGUGUAGCGGUGAAAUGCGUAGAUAUUAGGAAGAACACCAGUGGCGAAGGCGACUUUUUGGCCUGUAACUGACACUGAGGCGCGAAAGCGUGGGGAGCAAACAGGAUUAGAUACCCCGGUAGUCCCUGUCUCUUAUACA
rnacentral:rRNA from 1 species